rnacentral:tRNA from 1 species
AGAAAUAUAAUUUAUACAAGACCCAAAAUUUUAGCUUUUAACUAGAAAAAAUAGGUUAAAAUCCUAUUAUUUCUA